GAUGAACGCUGGCGGCGUGCCUAAUACAUGCAAGUAGAACGCUGAAGCUUGGUGCUUGCACCGAGCGGAUGAGUUGCGAACGGGUGAGUAACGCGUAGGUAACCUGCCUCUUAGCGGGGGAUAACUAUUGGAAACGAUAGCUAAUACCGCAUAAAAGUCGAUAUCGCAUGAUAUUGAUUUGAAAGGUGCAAAUGCAUCACUAAGAGAUGGACCUGCGUUGUAUUAGCUAGUUGGUGAGGUAACGGCUCACCAAGGCGACGAUACAUAGCCGACCUGAGAGGGUGAUCGGCCACACUGGGACUGAGACACGGCCCAGACUCCUACGGGAGGCAGCAGUAGGGAAUCUUCGGCAAUGGGGGCAACCCUGACCGAGCAACGCCGCGGGAGUGAAGAAGGUUUUCGGAUCGUAAAGCUCUGUUGUAAGAGAAGAACGAGUGUGAGAGUGGAAAGUUCACACUGUGACGGCAACUUACCAGAAAGGGACGGCUAACUACGUG
rnacentral:rRNA from 1 species